rnacentral:lncRNA from 1 species
GGCCAAUCGUCCAUAUGGAAAUCAUUCUGAAAAUGUAUUUGAAAUAAAUGACAGUCGUUAUACUUCAAUGGGAAAAUUUAAUAUGUUUUCAAAGCAAACACUAUGUAUCUUUGUGUGCACUUGUUGAAUGUGUUUUUUGCAAUUUAUAACUCUAACAAUAGUUUUCUAUCAGGUAAAUUUAAGCAGUUGUGACAAAGACCA